AAUCUCCCACCCCAAGCGGUUUUUAAAUGAAACGGCUUGGCGGAUGGGGUCUGGAUGGGUGCCUCUGCCUGCGCUACCUAGCACAGGCUCGCCCGAAAUGCAUGAGCGCCUUGAGACACUUUGCAUCCGCCUCUCUGUUUGGGAGGAGGCGGCCAAGCAGUGUUUUUCUCCUGGCAUGGCAUGAUACGUCAUUUGCUAUGUCACCUAAAGGAGGAAUGUUUGGUUGUGUCUGCGUGUGCUUCAAACUUGCCUCUGUGGCACAUCCCAAUUUCAC
rnacentral:misc_RNA from 1 species